UACAGAGGGUGCGAGCGUUGUCCGGAAUCACUGGGCGUAAAGCGCGUGUAGGCGGCUCGAUAAGUCUGGUGUGAAAGCCCGGGGCUCACCCCCGGAAGUGCAUCGGAUACUGUCGAGCUCGAGUCUCGGAGAGGAGAGUGGAAUUCCUGGUGUAGCGGUGAAAUGCGUAGAUAUCAGGAGGAACACCGGUGGCGAAGGCGGCUCUCUGGACGAUGACUGACGCUGAGACGCGAAAGCGUGGGGAGCAAACAGG
rnacentral:rRNA from 1 species